UACGUAGGGUGCAAGCGUUAAUCGGAAUUACUGGGCGUAAAGCGUGCGCAGGCGGUUUUGUAAGUCUGUUGUGAAAUCCCCGGGCUCAACCUGGGAAUGGCAAUGGAGACUGCAAGGCUAGAGUUUGGCAGAGGGGGGUAGAAUUCCACGUGUAGCAGUGGAAAUGCGUAGAGAUGUGGAGGAAUACCGAUGGCGAAGGCAGCCCCCUGGGCCGUAACUGACGCCUGAGGAGCGAAAGCAUGGGGAGCGAACAGG
rnacentral:rRNA from 1 species